GCGACCCCAGGUCAGGCGGGAUCACCCGCUGAGUUUAAGCAUAUCAAUAAGCGGAGGAGAAGAAACUAACAAGGAUUCCCUUAGUAACGGCGAGCGAACCGGGAAGAGCCCAGCUUGAAAAUCGGAUGUCUUYGACGUUCGAAUUGUAGUCUGGAGAAGCGUCCUCAGCGACGGACCGGGCUCAAGUUCCCUGGAAAGGGGCGCCAGAGAGG
rnacentral:rRNA from 1 species